rnacentral:rRNA from 1 species
ACGGGUGAGUAAUGUAUCGGAACGUGCCUAGUAGCGGGGGAUAACUACGCGAAAGCGUAGCUAAUACCGCAUACGCCCUACGGGGGAAAGCAGGGGAUCGCAAGACCUUGCACUAUUAGAGCGGCCGAUAUCGGAUUAGCUAGUUGGUGGGGUAACGGCUCACCAAGGCGACGAUCCGUAGCUGGUUUGAGAGGACGACCAGCCACACUGGGACUGAGACACGGCCCAGACUCCUACGGGAGGCAGCAGUGGGGAAUUUUGGACAAUGGGGGAAACCCUGAUCCAGCCAUCCCGCGUGUGCGAUGAAGGCCUUCGGGUUGUAAAGCACUUUUGGCAGGAAAGAAACGUCAUGGGUUAAUACCCCGUGAAACUGACGGUACCUGCAGAAUAAGCACCGGCUAACUACGUGCCAGCAGCCGCGGUAAUACGUAGGGUGCAAGCGUUAAUCGGAAUUGCUGGGCGUAAAGCGUGCGCAGGCGGUUCGGAAAGAAAGAUGUGAAAUCCCAGAGCUUAACUUUGGAACUGCAUUUUUAACUACCGAGCUAGAGUGUGUCAGAGGGAGGUGGAAUUCCGCGUGUAGC